rnacentral:rRNA from 1 species
GAUGAACGCUGGCGGCGUGCUUAACACAUGCAAGUCGAACGAAGCACUUUACCGGAUUUMUUCGGAAUGAAAGUUUUGUGACUGAGUGGCGGACGGGUGAGUAACGCGUGGGUAACYUSCCUCAUACAGGGGGAUAACAGUUAGGAAUGACUGCUAAUACCGCAUAAGACCACAGGACCGCAUGGUGCGGUGGUAAAAACUCCGGUGGUAUGAGAUGGACCCGCGUCUGAUUAGCUAGUUGGUAAGGUAACGGCUUACCAAGGCGACGAUCAGUAGCCGACCUGAGAGGGUGACCGGCCACAUUGGGAYUGAGACACGGCCCAAACUCCUACGGGAGGCAGCAGUGGGGAAUAUUGCACAAUGGGGGAAACCCUGAUGCAGCGACGCCGCGUGAGCGAUGAAGUAUUUCGGUAU